rnacentral:rRNA from 1 species
UACGUAGGGUGCAAGCGUUGUCCGGAAUUAUUGGGCGUAAAGAGCUCGUAGGCGGUCUGUCACGUCGGCUGUGAAAACCCGAGGCUCAACCUCGGCCUGCAGUCGAUACGGGCAAACUAGAGUACUGCAGGGGAGACUGGAAUUCCUGGUGUAGCGGUGAAAGUGCGCAGAUAUCAGGAGGAACACCGGUGGCGAAGGCGGGUCUCUGGGCAGUAACUGACGCUGAGGAGCGAAAGCGUGGGGAGCGAACAGG